rnacentral:rRNA from 1 species
GGAUAUGCAAAUGAUGGAAAGUUUGGUGGAAAGUUUGGGUUCUGCGAAGACUUUGAAGGUGAUGGCGGAUGGGCGUUCUUCAUCGGUGAGAUGGACGAUAACAAUUGCGAG